UUUUUUGAUAAUAUAUAAAUUGUUUAUUUUUGUUUAUUCCAUUUUUCUUGUUAUAAUACAUGCAUGAAAAAGAAGAGUCCAUCAAGGAAGA
rnacentral:ribozyme from 17 species